UCUGCUGCUUACUCUAACUGCGUGAGGAAGCCAUCCUGAUACGAUCCCAAGAAGCAAAGAAAACGAAAAUGCCUUCAUCGCUAGACUAGGAUUUCCCAUAUUCUCAUUCUCGUCUAUUGUUUUUUCUCUUUCUUGAUUUUGAACAAAAAUAAGACUUGAAUCGAUUCUUUCGAAGGCAACCCACAAAAACUAAGCUCAAUAAGCCAUGGCCAUUGAAUCACCACCACCUCUUUCCCCAAUUGGAUUCGAAGGCUUUGAAAAGCGCCUUGAAAUCACCUUCUCUGAAGCACCCAUUUUCAAUGACCCUGCUGGGAAAGGCCUACGUGCCUUGACUCUGUCCCAACUGAACUCAAUCCUCGAGCCAGCUUGUUGCACCAUUGUAGCUCAGCUUUCCAAUAAUGAGUUUGACUCCUACGUCCUCUCCGAGUCAAGUAUGUUCAUUUUCCCUUUGAAAAUAGUACUCAAAACUUGUGGGACUACAAAGCUACUUUUAUCCAUCGAACCGAUUCUGAAACUCGCUGAAUCCCUUUCACUUGAUGUAUCUGACGUUAAAUACUCUCGAGGCAGCUUCAUUUUCCCUAAUUACCAACCUGCCCCUCACCGGAGCUUCUCCGAAGAGGUUACUGCUUUGAACGGGUUCUUCAGCUGUUUAAAACCCAAGGCCUAUGUUCUCCUUGGCGAUCCCGCCUCGCCAAAUCGCAACUGGCACAUUUACUCGGCAUCAUCAAGGAAAUCAGUGGAAGAUCGGACGGAUAUGAUCACUUUUGAGAUGUGCAUGACUGGCUUGGACAAGAAAAAAGCGGCCGUGUUUUUCAAGAGAUCGGCGGAUGCGGAUUAUUCGGCUAAGGAAAUGACCAGAAAUUCCGGGAUAUCUGAAAUUAUACCGAGUCACGUAAUAUGCGACUUUGACUUUGACCCAUGUGGGUACUCAAUGAAUGGGAUUGAAGGUUCAGGAUUCUCAACAGUGCACGUGACCCCGGAGGAUGGGUUCAGUUACGCUAGCUACGAGGCGAUGGGAUUCGACGCUAGCGAGGUUAACUUGAACUCACUAGCCAGCAGGGUGCUCAAGUGUUUUGAACCAAACGAGUUUUCUAUUGCGGUCAGGUGCCAUGGUAGUGGGGUCCAGAGGUGUACUAUGGAGUGCGGUGACGUGGAUGGGUACUGGUGUCGUAGUGUUGUGGAGCAGGAGUUGGCUGCCAGAGGUGGAG
rnacentral:misc_RNA from 1 species